GGGCGGUUAGCUCAGCUUGGUUAGAGCGUCUGUCUUACACACAGAAGGUCAGAGGUUCGAGUCCUCUAUCGCCCACCA
rnacentral:tRNA from 1 species